rnacentral:lncRNA from 1 species
AACCCUAAUGCUUGGAUCUAGGUUUCUCUAUUGUACAUGCUUUGAAUCCAAGACUAUAAACCCUAAUUCUAGCAUUCAAGUAAUCAUAUGAAUAUGUAAUUAGGUUUAAGAUCAUACCUUGAUUGUUAUGUAGCAACAACAAUCCCAAUUCCUCCUUGUAUUGACUUUGGAAGGCUUAGAGUCACAAGUGUCACUCCUCUAAUGGUUCACAAACACCAUAAGCAAGAGGAUGAAGAGGAGAGAGGUUGGAGGCUGCCAAAAAUGUGUAGAAACCCUAGAAAGAUCAUUAGCCACGUUUUUGAGCCUUAAGGGGUCUUUAUAUAGUUGGGCUAUUAGGGUUAUCUAACAAGGAAACCCUAAUUUGGAUGCUUAAGCCCUAAGCAACCCAUGGACCCCUUUCCUUAAGGCCAUGGACGAUUUCCUUAUGGGUUUCCCCAUAGAAUUCGUCCACUCCUUAAUAUAAGGCAAUCCAUGGCCCAAAUUGCAAUUAUCUUAUAAUUACAAUUCCAGUCCCUUAAGUUUAAUUAAUCUCUUUUAGUCACAAAACUAAUUACCAAUUAAUUCUUGACUAAUAUUAAUUAAACAAUAUGAUUUCUCCUUUAAUAUAUUAUUCUCAUAAUAUAUUAAUAAAUCAUAUUUAAUCCUUUCUCUCCAUAAUUCAUCCUAUCAAGUUGCUUUGGUGAAGGCAACCCAAAAGGACCAUGCACCAUCGGGUCAAGUACAUACCAAAAUAGUUAUGGACUUAGACACUAAUCCAACAGUCUCCCACUUGGAUAAGUCUAAUAACUAUUCUGCGUAUGACUUCAGAUCCUGAUCUGCAAUCGUAGCUUUCCAAAGCCGCUGUCAACUCUGAUCAUAUCAGAUACGCGUGUCCUUAGAUAAGGGAUCAUAUAUUCCUCCAUUCUAGAUAUCAUAUGAGAUAUGAUUUCAAAUCAUUCUCUUUGUACUAUAUCUCGAUUUCCGAUUUAUGACGACUGACUAAUUGAACAAAUCAAAUUAGCCCUAGCCCGGCCGAGCAUUUACGUUUGUCAUCACUAAAUCAUCGAGGGGCCCAAAGAUAUCGCUUUUAUCCUACUUUGGAUAAAAGGAACGGAUAAACUUUGAUACAAUGCUUGCUUGCACUCACUCACCGAAUCACACACAACAAUAUGUUUUAUAACACCAAGUUACUAGUGCGUUUACAUAUUAUCAAUGUGCAACCGAUUUGCAAGAUACAACUCACACAUCUCGGUUUCAAGAAUAUAAGAUGUUAUCGUCUCACCAAUCACUCGUGAUACAAUUCAUGGAGUGAUCCAAGUGAGCGUGGGUUUAAUCCAAUGCUCAAAUCAUAUUCAUAAGCACUCAUGAACGUUGCAGCAAACAUUUGCUUAUGUCUAAUACUCUUUUAGACAAUCCACACACCAAUUCACGACAGUCUUCAUUCAUAUCUACUUCCAACAUAUGAACGACUGUGGCCCGUUCGAAUAAUUCGAUUAUUCUUAAUAAACUCAAUUAUUCUGGAAGUCAAAACAUGCAAAUGUGAAACACAAGAAUAAUACUAAUCCCAUAUGGCCUCAAACCUUUGAGUAUAAAUAAAACACCUUUUAUUUAUCACCAUAUCGAUUACUCAUUAUUUGUCGUUUCGGGUAAUCAACUUCUUACUUGAAUUAUUACACUUGUCCCAUGCUCCUAGCAUGCACACAAUGUUUACCUAUGGUUCUUACUUUGUGAAAUAGAUCAAAUUGAACACAUUUCCAAUCAUUCUCAUUUCACAACUCCAAAUCCUUUUUCAUAAGUGUAAGAAUAUCAAAUUCUUGCCACUUAUAGAAUAUGCUAGAUUCUAACAUUUUAUGCAAUGAUCCUUUCGUAAUGUCACUGCACCAAAGUCACAAAGACUAUUGCCAAUGAUAUUACAAAGUCCUCUAUCGGAGAUUGUUACAAGACAAUUCCUUAGAUAUGAUGUCUCUCACUCAAAGUACAUUCCUUUGAACAUCCUUUUGCAUAAAAGUUUCUAAUCUAGACAUAGAUUUUCAAUAUUCAAUUCCCAAUAUGGACACGUUUCCAUAUUUUCCAUAUGACAACUCAUUCUUAAUAGAAUCUUAUCUAUUCGUAAUGAUGUCGAUAUGGUCCAUCCAAUAUGGAAACAUUUCCAUAAUUUCCAUAUGACAACUCAUUCUUAAUAGAAUCUUUUCUAUUCAUAAUAAUGUCGAUAUGGUCCAUCCAAUACCAUGCUUCCAACUACUCACAAGCGACCAAUCCUCGUCGAACUUUGGAUUGUCCUUUGAUAGUUGUUUAAUUAUUUUAGUCAAAACCAAUUCUAGUCCCUUUUCCCUCUAAAUGCGCUCGACAUUUGGAAAAUUUUAGAAUGGUCAAAUAUUAAAGCAUUUGCAAUCGAUCCUAUACCCGAAGCGUAUGGGACACGAUGCACAACGUUUUAUUUGCUAUGUUCUCAAAAUUCGAAUUGUGAAGAGGGAUGCCGUAAUCAUAAUCGAAAUUUUAAGAACACACUAUGUACCUUUGACUAAAUUUAUUAACAUUUCUCAACCUAAUCCUUUAGAUUUGAAAUGAAGCAUAAUAUUCUCUCCCUUAAUUAUAGCAAAACAACUUUACAACCCUUACGACUUUGCAAGGUAUAACUCUUGUUUUCUAUAAUUAAUAUUGCCAACUUGCAAUACGUGCCUUAAUAAUCAUACAAUCAUAACAUUUAUGCUCCCACUAUCAUGAUGAUUAUUAUAAAACAUAACACUUAUGCUCCCACUAGCUUCGACAUGUAUUCAUAAACAUCUUAACUUUCAGAAAAACAAUACUUAUUGAAUUUCUUAAGUUCAUGUUUCUAAUACUUAGUGCUUUGAUAAUCUUUUAUCAAGGCUUCUUGAACUUAUACACCUUUGCCUUCGAUAGUUCAUAUGUGUGUCUAAACAAUUAAGACUAAUUGCCAAACCUCACAAUUCAAAUUAUGGAAAGGGAUACCGUAACCAUAAUCGAAUUCGAGAAUGCAAUUUUACAAUCACUAUCUUCUUAAAAUCUUUCUUAGUGAAAGCAUUUCCUCACAAUCAUUUUCAUGAAGGAGGAAAUCUUAUGACACUUAGAUUUAAACGGUGUAUGUGUUCCUAUCCAUGUGAAUUUGUUAAAACCAAAGUUUACGACAAAUUCAAACUCAUAUGGACCGAACUUUCUUAAUCUUGAUUUCUUGCCUUAUGGUAGCACAGCUGCCCACCAUGUCUUCCAAGUAGUUAAGCAGCUCACCCUUUCCUAUCAAUGUACCUUUCAUUGAUUAAGGUGCUUUGCCUUUUAUGCGUUCAAAAUGAGAACUCAUAGAACUCACAUGCAUAAUUAACUCGAUUGGAUUGGCACAGAAACAAAAUAAUGUCAACACGAUAGGUUGUAAACCUCAACUCGUGUGCUAGUGAUGAUCGAUAAGGUUUUUUUGAUUUGUUCUUGAAACCUUUCAAGACCAUUAAGACUCCCACUGACUCCUUGACAUAUAAGAUUCUCUUGUCAAUAAACAUUUCUUGACAAACAAAUAUUCAAGAGUUAGUGUAGCUUUUAUCAAAACACUUCAUAAAUUGGUCCUAGUUGGUCUUUGUCUUAUCCAAGACAUCACAACUUUCCACAUUUGAUGAAUGUUAUAAACCUUCUUAAUACUUUUCACUCAAUGUCACAAUCUUAACUCUAAGACUUGUUUUGGAACGAAGUAUGAUUGACUUCUUGAUUUAACCAUUUCUUCAAUUCUUGAUUCCUCUUCUUAGACAUACAAUUGUACUAAGACUCACUUAGAGGAUCAAUUGAGAUAUGGUUCUUAAUCAUUAAGACCUAUCAUAAAGCAUAAAAGGUACUCUCCCUUCUUCUUAGAAUGGAGAAACUUUUAUCUUUCUGCCUACUUGAUUCUUCUUAUUCGUUCUGCUAUUGAUUUAAACUUUUUCAAUCAAUUCAGAAUUACACUUAAUCUUAUAAGUAUAAUCAUAUUUACUAAACCUUUAGUAAAUCAUGACGAAUAUCUUUGUUACUCUUAUGGUGGACUUGAUCAACACGCAACUUUGUGUACUCGAUCUCCUAGUCCUUCACUUGACACUUUGUCAAUGAAUUAGUCUAAUUUCCAAAUAUGAAAUUUCUCAUUCAUCGUGCAACCAAGUUGCAUGAUUCCAAGUUUCUGUCCAAUUGAAACUUGGGCGAUGAGAAACUCUCCCUAUUUGGUAAAUUCUCGACUUUCCAUAAAUAACAUAAUAAGAACCAAAUCCAUUAUUGCUAAUAAUAGAAACAUUCAAACAUCAAUUUUUCAUAUACGCCAUUGCAAGGAUAAAUAAAUAAUAUAAAAUCAAAAUUUAUUUUAUUGCGGAAAAAAUUUGUCCUUACAAUGCAAUUCAUUGAAAAACUAUGCUAAUACAUCUUUCUUAGCAAUCUAAUUCUAACUCUAAGUAGUAGCUCAAGAAUCUAAUCUUCGAGAAAUGCGAUCGAAAUCCAUUCCUUCACGGUUAGAUUCUGCUCACUUCUUCCCUUAAGCUUCCUUUCUUUUCUUCGAUCCUACAAAACAUCAAUUGUAAUCUUAUCACAUUAUGUAUUAAGAAUCUAGAAUAGAAGCUUAAAAGAGUUAGUUAAUGGAUUUUACCUAUAUUAGAGCCAUACGUUUCGACUCUCCCAUCUCUUAGAUCUCUUAGGUAAAUGGGGCAGCUUCGUCUCCAAUGCCCUUUCUCUUGGCAAUAAAAGCAAAUUGACUCUUUUGGAACAUGACAUGGAACUACUUCAGACAUUGCCUUUCUCUUAUGAUCAAACUUUUCGAUCAUAGCAUGUCUUUCGUUGCCAUUGUCUAUAUCCAUAGAGGUCUUGAAGGCAGAUUCACCAAUCAACUUUGCUUUUCUAUUGCGCCAAACCAUUGCUGAUUCAGCAGCAAUAAGCAUAUAGGUGAGAUCUAUAAGGGUCACGUCGCGGUUCAUCAUAUAGUACUCUCUUACGAACUCACUAUAUGAGUUAGGAAGUGACUGAAGAACCCAAUCAACAGCCAUUUCCUCACAGACAACGGAUCCCAACAUUCUUAACCUAUCAAUGUGUGACUUCAUCCCUAGGACGUGUGCACACACCGACUUUCCUUCUUUAUGUUUACUUGCCAAAAGGGCUUGAGUGAUCUUGAACUUUUCAAGCCUUUGAACUUGUGGGUUAGGGAGAAUAAUUGGAGGAGGAGGAGGAAGUGAAGCAUGAUUUCUUGUUCCUCGAUCGAAUCGUGGAAUAUCAUCUUCAUGUGGAAUGCUUGUUCCACGGGAUUUGGGAAGACCAUAGUUGUCGAACUUUGACAUCUACAAAACGGGAGAAAACGAAUUCAAGUUAGUUGAUUGAUUGAGUCCUUAGUAAAUCACCCAAAUGAGAUACUAAGGCUAGGACCCAACACAAUAUUCUACAACUCGGGAGAGGGAUGCCGUAACCCUAAUUGCAGAAUAUUUGAAGGUAAGUGAAUGACGAUUCACUAAUUUCCACCAUGAAAAACGAAAAAGAAAUUUAAGUUUUAAAUCUAUGAAAACUCCUAGAUCCUUUGAGAUUCAUUGAACUUUCAAUGGCAUGUUUAAAUCUCGAUAUGCCCCUCUUGUUUGUGACUGGGAUGCCGAGGAUCACAAAGCGGGUGUGAAUAACCAUGCAAACUUACAUGGUGCCCUCACAUGUUACAGUCACCUAUUCGAUGUGCCGGUAAACCACACACGCUCCACCGAACUAUGACAAACAUUGAGUCACCCUUUGCUACCUUUGCUUAGAACCAUUUAGUGUGCCGGUAAACCACACACGCUCCACUAACGUCUUCGCAAGGGCACAAAGUGUAAUUUCAUGGAAUUGCAUCAAUUCACUUUUGCCUAAGUAACUAAGAUUGGGAAUUUUAUGAAAACAUUUAGUUACUUUAGUAAUUCAUUAUACUUAUAAUGGAAGGUUUCGUCCUAUCCUACCCGUUCGGCUAACGACCCUCCACUAGUCAAGAGUGCGGUGGGUAAGAGUGGAUACCCAUUCAAUCGCCAUUUUAUAGGCAAUUUCCUUAAACACCCCUUAUAGACCAGCUUCGUGAAUGAGGCCUACUAACGGUAAGACUGACUUUUACUCAUACAUAUAUAUAAUGUUAGACUUUUAAUGUUAUAUAUAGUAUAGGGUGUAUUUUACACUUUUAAAAUAUUAGGUGGUCAAAUUUAACAAUUAUACUUUUAAUUCAAUUAAAUUGUAAACCUAAACUUUUAUGGAUUUAUUAAACCUCUUUUAAUUAUACACCUUAAUUAAUUAAUAAAACCAUAAGGGUGUGAUUUGAACUUUUUCAAAACUAUACUAGAGUUUUAGAAUUUAACAUUCCUAAUUAAACUUUUAAUCAACUUUUAAAUUCCAAAACUUGAGGGCAAGUUUUGAAACAUUUCAACACAUUAGGGUUUAGAAUUUAAAUAUACAUCAAAAUUAAACCAUUUAAUCAAAAUUUAAAUUCCAAAACUUGAGGGCAAGUUUUGAAACCUUUUUCAAAACAUUAGGGUUUUAACUAUUUAAAUUUCAAAACAACAAAACUUUUGGGUUCAAAUUUAAACUAUAAAACCUAAAGGGGAAAAUAUGAAACUUUUCAUAACAACAAGGAUCAAAUAACAAAUAAUCUAAACUAACAUUUAGUUACAUAAUUAUCCAUAUUUGAUUUGUUUAAUGAUUUCUUGCAAAACAAUUUAUCAAUUUACUCAAAAUAAUUAAUCAAUUAUCUUAUAAGGAAACAAUUAUCUUGUUAAUUGAUAAUUAUCUUUAAUUAGAUCAGGAAUAUAGUCAUAUAUAUCAUAAUAAUCGGAUUAAUAUUGAUCUAACAUGAUAAGGUAACUAUCCAUAUGCAAAAACAGCAAGAAAUCCCGAGAUAAGCAUUAUCUGACGAGUUGACUCGUCGAGUCAGGCAUGGACUCGUCGAGUCUGCAUGGACUCGGCGAGUCCAGCCUCCACAAUCCAAAAAAUCGAAUUUUCCAGUUAUACAAAGCAUCAAUACAAUUGAAACCAAGCUAGGCUCUGAUACCACUGAUGGGUUUUGGUCAUAAGACAUCCUAUGUGCUCAUACAAACCCUAAUGCUUGGAUCUAGGUUUCUCUAUUGUACAUGCUUUGAAUCCAAGACUAUAAACCCUAAUUCUAGCAUUCAAGUAAUCAUAUGAAUAUGUAAUUAGGUUUAAGAUCAUACCUUGAUUGUUAUGUAGCAACAACAAUCCCAAUUCCUCCUUGUAUUGACUUUGGAAGGCUUAGAGUCACAAGUGUCACUCCUCUAAUGGUUCACAAACACCAUAAGCAAGAGGAUGAAGAGGAGAGAGGUUGGAGGCUGCCAAAAACGUGUAGAAACCCUAGAAAUAUCAUUAGCCACGUUUUUGAGCCUUAAGGGGUCUUUAUAUAGUUGGGCUAUUAGGGUUAUCUAACAAGGAAACCCUAAUUUGGAUGCUUAAGCCCUAAGCAACCCAUAGACUCCUUUUAUCAAGCCCAUGGACGAUUUCCUUAUGGGUUUCCCAUUAGAAUUCGUCCAUCCCUUAAUAUAAGGCAAUCCAUGGCCCAAAUUAUAAUUAUCUUAUAACUACAAUUCCAGUCCCUUAAGUUUAAUUAAUCUCUUUU